rnacentral:lncRNA from 1 species
AGUGCUUUCGUGUCGGCCGCCGCGCGAGGGUGCCCGCGCUCCCCGUAUCGAUUCGACGUCGCGGGAAGCCCCCAUCGUUCAACCUCGAUUCGCUCCCUCAGUGUGCCGUCGCACGGCCCGCCAGCCGAGAGUUUCCGCGGGAACCCGCACCGAAUGCUCUCAUACGUUGAGGUCAGUAAGCUAGGCACGUACCGAGAUAAAUGUUUUAAUUUUUGGGUUACUUUCGGUCAAUAUGGGAAGUGGAACAUAGCCGAACCUAAUGUUUACGUUGAUUUCAGUACAGACUCCGUUUUAUUUGGUACGUAACACAAUGGAAAGAACGGGAUAGCCGAGAAUCAACCGAAAUACUCCAGUCAUUUCGUGUUUCACUUCCGAUAUUAACCGAAUUUUAUUUUUUAACCGGGUUAUCUUUUUCCAAAUGUGUAGGAGAUCGUAAAACCCAAACCUCUACGGUGAGCCGUUGAAUAUAACGCUCUCAUUUUUGUGUUUUCUCCGUGAAGCAGCUCACUGACCAGGAAUAUGACCACUGUAUUUCGCCCUAGAAAAUCAGUUUACUGACCAGAAAUAUGACUCCUGUAUUUCGUCCUUAACUCUGACUAGUGGCUCAGUCUACGACCAUGCUAUUCAGUUCACGUUUCCUUCAGUGCGGUUUCUUUGUUCCGUGUAUUUCAACGAGUCUGGAUCCGUGUACUUCAACGAGUCUCGACCGGAAGUUUCAGGGAGUGAAGUCUCAGAAUGCGCAGAACUCAUCAUGAGUCUUUACGUCAGGAUCACCAGCUAGGUGACUCAGUAUGUAGAGGAUGACGUCUUACACCGACCCGGAGUCUGUCGGAGGGUCACCCAAAAAAGGUCUAAGAUGUCGAAUCAAGGAGAGCCCCUCGCUGAUGGGGCGGCACCUCUCCAAGUCGGCCUCGGAGCUGAGCCACCGCGGGGACGUCCGGCUGGAGACGGCCCGGUCCGCCGAGCGAGAGCGCAGCGCCCACGGACACGGCCCCUCCGCAGCCCAUCACCUCUCCGUCAUCCAGAAGACCCACUCCUUCUUCACGUCCUUGAAGGCUCGCUGGGCGCGGAGCAGGAGCCGGGAGAGGCGGAGCCUGCGGCGCGUGGAGAUGGGGCCGGGGGGCUCGCCGCUCCACGGGGGCUACGGGGGGCGCGACUCCCCCGGAGCGCGACGGCGACCGACUACACCGCGGACAACUCCUCCGAAGGCAGCCCUCUCACCAUGUCACCUAAGCACCGGCUCCUCCACCGAUCCACCCUCCAAGAGUCACACGCCUACCCUGGAAUGCACAUUCCGUCCACUGAAACCGUUUCCAUGCCAGGAGACUCGCCCAGAUUUCUACCCAGACAAUUAACCCACCCUAGCUCCACAACCGUAGAACCAUUACCUCUCCCCUCCGACCCGGUAAGACGGAUUUUCAUCUUAAAAUAUUAUUCUGCUUUUUUUAUUCAGUGUUUACAGAGUACAGGGUGUCUGAAGGUCAGUGGCAUGGCGUAAGUUGCGA